rnacentral:lncRNA from 1 species
CAGUACCCCACAGGUUCCGAGUUGGAGACAAAGUCUUGGUCAGAUGGCAUCGAACCAGCAGCCUCGAGCCACGGUGAAAGGGACCCUAUUUGGUGUUACUGACAACCCCUACUGCGGUAAAAGUUGACGGGAUUGCCUCCUGGAUCCACGCCUCCCACGUCAAGAGGGCCGCCAGUCAAGAUAAAGAAAACCACGAAGACAAUUGGACAGUGGCAGCCACUGACAAUCCUCUUAAGCUUCGUUUGCGCCGCAGGCGCCACCCUGAGCCUAGGGAACCACAACCCUCAUGCUCCAAUUCAACAGUCUUGGGAAGUGCUUAAUGAGGAGGGAAACAUUGUAUGGGCAACCACUGCAGUCCAUCCUCUCUGGACUUGGUGGCCUGAUCUCACACCUGACAUCUGUAAGUUAGCAGCAGGAUCCCCCAAUUGGGACCUCCCCGAUCAUACUGAUCUUAGCAACCCACCCUCUGAACAGCGGUGUGUCCCGGGCGGAAUAGGGAACUCGUAUGGAUGUUCGGGGCAGUUCUACCGAGCUAAUCUUAGAGCUGCACAAUUUUAUGUUUGCCCUGGUCAGGGUCGGAGCAAAAGGCUUCAACAAGAAUGUGGAGGGGCAUCAGAUUACUUUUGUGGUAAAUGGACAUGUAAAACGACAGGGGAAGCUUACUGGAAGCCUCCUCUGACUGGGACCUAAUCACGGUAAAACGAGGUAGUGGCUAUGAUAAGUCAAACCAAGGAGAAAGAAACCCCUAUAAAUAUCCAGAGAAUGGGUGCGCUUUUAAAAACAGCCCCCCAGGAUCAUGCAAAGGUAAAUACUGCAACCCCCUACUCAUAAAGUUCACCGAGAAAGGGAAACAACACCGUCUGAGUUGGCUUAAAGAAAAUAGGUGGGGUUGGCGAGUAUACAUUCCACUAAGAGACCCUGGGUUCAUUUUCACGAUCAGACUGACAGU